CAAAAAUACCAUAUGAAACAUUUUGGAAUUGCAACCAUUUUCAAACAAAGUACUCUUUUUUUCACGGGCUCAAAUGUAAUUGGACAGAUAAACACAAUCAUAAAUAAAAUGUUAAUUUUUAAUACUUUGUCGAGAGUCUCUUGCAGGCUGCUUAAAGUUUGGAAUGCAUGGACAUCACCAAAUGCUGUGUUUCCUCCUUUGUGAUGCUUUGCCAGGC